rnacentral:tRNA from 1 species
ACUACGUUAUUAUAAUAUAGUAUUCGUGACUUCCAAUCACGGGGUCCUGCUUUAGGACGUAGUA